rnacentral:rRNA from 1 species
CCUACGGGUGGCAGCAGUGAGGAAUAUUGGUCAAUGGGCGCGAGCCUGAACCAGAGAAGUAGCGUGAAGGAGGAACGAAAGAAGGGGGGUAAACGGCGGGGAUAAAGGAAUAAAGUGAGGCACGUGGGCCUUUUUGUAUGUACUUUAUGAAUAAGGAUCGGCUAACUCCGUGCCAGCAGCCGCGGUAAUACGGAGGAUCCGAGCGUUAUCCGGAUUUAUUGGGUUUAAAGGGAGCGUAGAUGGGUUGUUAAGUCAGUUGUGAAAGUUUGCGGCUCAACCGUAAAAUUGCAAUUGAUACUGGCAGCCUUGAGUACAGUUGAGGUAGGCGGAAUUCGUGGUGUAGCGGUGAAAUGCUUAGAUAUCACGAAGAACUCCGAUUGCGAAGGCAGCUUACUAAACUGCCACUGACAUUGAUGCUCGAAAGUGUGGGUAUCAAACAGGAUUAGAUACCCCAGUAGUC